rnacentral:rRNA from 1 species
UACGUAGGGUGCGAGCGUUAAUCGGAAUUACUGGGCGUAAAGCGUGCGCAGGCGGUUCGUUGUGUCCGUCGUGAAAGCCCCGGGCUUAACCUGGGAACUGCGAUGGAAACUAGCGAGCUGGAGUGUGGCAGAGGGGGGGGUGGAAUUCCGCGUGUAGCAGUGAAAUGCGUAGAGAUGCGGAGGAACACCGAUGGCGAAGGCAGCCCCCCCUGGGCUAACACUGACGCUCAGGCACGAAAGCGUGGGGAGCAAACAGG